rnacentral:misc_RNA from 1 species
GACCAUCUCUCAAUUACUAUAAAUACAGCUUUCGUUAAGCCACAAUUAACCAUUACACCACUUCUCAUCCAACGCCCAAUCAACACAAUGGAAGGUACUACCUGGACUGCAACUGCAGUGUUUCUUGCUACUCUGUUUCUUUUGUUUCUCUCCAAAUUUCUUCGCAAGAGGAAACUCAACUUACCUCCAGGCCCAAAACCAUGGCCGAUCAUCGGAAAUUUAAACCUUAUGGGUUCCCUUCCUCACCGAUCCAUCCACGAUCUCUCCGUCAAGUACGGACCCAUUAUGCAACUACAAUUCGGGUCUUUUCCCGUCGUAGUUGGCUCCUCUGUAGAAAUGGCCAAAAUUUUCCUCAAAACCAUGGAUAUCAACUUUGUUGGCAGGCCUAAAACUGCUGCCGGAAAGUACACUACCUAUAAUUAUUCAGAUAUUACAUGGUCCCCGUACGGAUCCUAUUGGCGUCAGGCACGUAGAAUGUGCCUGAUGGAAUUGUUCAGCGCAAAACGGCUUGAUUCAUACGAGUACAUUCGGGCUGAGGAACUUCAUUCUAUUCUUCAUAAUUUGAACAAAUCAUCGGGGAAACCGAUUCUGCUGAAAGAUUAUUUGACGACUCUGAGUUUAAAUGUUAUUAGCAGAAUGGUAUUGGGAAAAAGUUACUUGGACGAAUCCGAUAACUCGAUUGUGACUCCUGAUGAAUUUAAAAAGAUGUUGGAUGAAUUGUUCUUACUUAAUGGAGUCCUUAAUAUUGGAGAUUCAAUUCCAUGGCUUGAUUUCAUGGACCUACAAGGUUAUGUUAAGAGGAUGAAAGUUGUAAGCAAGAAAUUUGACAAAUUUCUGGAGCAUGUACUUGAUGAGCAUAACAUGAGAAGGAACGCAGUGGAAAACUAUGUCGCUAAGGACAUGGUGGAUGUUCUAUUGCAGCUUGCUGAUGAUCCAACUCUGGAUGUUAAGCUGGAGAGACAUGGAGUCAAAGCAUUCACUCAGGACUUGUUGGCUGGUGGAACUGAGAGUUCAGCAGUGACAGUAGAAUGGGCAAUUUCAGAGUUGUUGAAGAAGCCAGAGAUUUUCAAAAAAGCUACCAACGAAUUGGAUCGAGUAAUAGGCCAAAACAGAUGGGUACAAGAAAAAGACAUCCCGAAUCUUCCUUACAUAGAGGCAAUUGCAAAAGAGACUAUGCGUCUGCACCCCGUGGCACCAAUGUUGGUGCCACGUGAGUGUCGGGAAGACUGCAAGGUAGCUGGCUACGAUGUUAAAAAAGGAACCAGGGUCCUGGUGAGUGUGUGGACUAUAGGAAGGGAUCCAACAUUGUGGGACGAGCCUGAGGCUUUCAAGCCUGACAGGUUCCUGGAGAAGUCCAUCGAUGUUAAAGGACACGAUUUUGAGCUUUUGCCAUUCGGAGCUGGGAGAAGGAUGUGCCCUGGAUACAGCUUGGGUCUUAAGGUGAUUCAAGCUAGUUUAGCUAAUCUUCUUCAUGGAUUUAACUGGUCAUUGCCUGAUAAUAUGACUCCUGAGGAACUCAACAUGGAAGAAAUCUUUGGGCUCUCAACACCCAAAAAGUUUCCACUUUCUGCUGUGAUUCAGCCAAGGCUUUCAUCAAAACUUUACUCUGUUUGAUUCAGCAUCUACUAUACUAUGGUUCCAUCGAAAUAGAGUUUCUUUAUCCAAAUACUUUAGCUAAAUAAACUCUAGCUAUAGUCCUAAUACUCUACUUUUAUUUCGCUUUUGCCCCUCAGUCACCUGGAUUUGCUUAUAUGUUUGUAUCACUCAGGAUGUGUUAAUCAAGGUUAAGAAAAAUGAAUCAAUUUCAAUAUUUCUGUAAUGUAAGAAUGUUUUUGGAAAGAUUUCACAUCAUGAGUUAACUCUUUUACUUUAGUUUUCAGAAAGU